CCAAAAUUUAUCGGGAUUCAAAUGUUUGUGAUCGUUUAGUUGUAACUAUAUUUAACCAAGUCACAAAGCUGUUCUAUCAGUGAUUAAUUGUGAACAAAUUUGUUUUCAGUGUGACUAGCUAUGACUAAUUUUGAGUUUAGUAUGACUGUCUCCUAGUCACACUUUCUUGGAUUACUUAAUUGGUGUACUGGCUUGCUCACACUCUUUACCCAUUGAGUAGAAGCAUUGAAUCCGAGACUUUUGAAGCUGAUAUGUACAAUAUCAAGGGCUCUCCAUCCCUUGGUGGCCUCAAAACUGCCCUGUUGGUCCGGUAUUUCUGAAUUUCAUCGAACGCUUACCGAUUCAAUUUUAGUUGUGAUGCUAUGUGAUCAAAUCAAAAUUAACACAUAAUUGGUCACAAUCUGUCAUAGUAAACAUAUACUUUCGCCAAGCUUGUUUGUGCCACCACCACUCCACCAUCACAAUUAUUACCAACACUGUCAAGAAACAAAUAGCACUACCUGACCACGACUACUUGCACCACCAUCAACAAAAUGAUCAUCACUAUUUGCAUAACACCAACAACCAUCCUAAAAAACUAUAGCUAAACAACAGAUCGACAACCAUCCACAUUGCAAACCAUCCACGAUAAAUUCACAACCUAACACUGCACACAUCGCAUCACUAGCACCACCUCACUAUAACCUACCACCGCACAUAUACCACUACAAGGAAGCAGUCCACCCCUAACACCCACACACACAUAGUGACUGGGUGCUGAUGUUUCUUGAAAAAGAUCAAAACAACAUCUUCAUGAAACAACAUUGAUCUGAAGAAGAUCGAAAUAGCAUUUUUCGUGAAACGAAAAAAUUAACCUUGCUUGCAGCAUCGUAUUCGACGCGAUGAAGCUUCUCGCCAUUGCCACCGUUGAUGUUGCAAGUAGCGAUGAGUUCUGUCGCAGCUGGUAAUGUUGGAGAUGGGUAAGUGGGGAAGCAGGUAGGUGGGUAAAGAAAGAAGGAAGAGUGAUGGAGGAAUGAGGUUUGUCGCUGAUGAAUUGGUGGAGGAGUGAGGACGAUGAUAGAGAAAAGGUAAGGGGCAGGAUGAGUGGCUAGGCAAUAGAGAGAGAAGGGAGAUUUAGAAAGAGAAAGAGAUGGGUUACAAAGAGAAGGAAUAGG
rnacentral:lncRNA from 1 species